rnacentral:rRNA from 1 species
UACGUAGGGGGCUAGCGUUGUCCGGAUUUAUUGGGCGUAAAGAGCGUGUAGGCGGCCAGGUAGGUCCGUUGUGAAAACUCGAGGCUCAACCCCGGGAGGCGGAUGGAUACUGCUUGGCUCGAGUCCGGAAGAGGCGAGUGGAAUUCCCGGUGUAGCGGUGAAAUGCGCAGAUAUCGGGAGGAACACCAAUGGCGAAGGCAGCUCGCUGGGACGGUACUGACGCUGAGACGCGAAAGCGUGGGGAGCAAACAGG